rnacentral:lncRNA from 10 species
ACUCAACCACAGGGGGAACACUAAUAUAUCCCUGGCUCAGUAUUCAGCUGAUGAGACUCUCCUGCCUGGUUCUACUCACAGGAGUCAGAAAAUGUGUGGGACUGUGAAUCUCAUCCCUGGACUUUCCUAUGAGGUCUCACUAUGUUGCUUAGGCUGGAGUGCAGUAGCUAGUCACAAACACAAUCAUGGUGCGUUAUAGCCUGGACUCAAAGGAUCCUUCUGCCUUAGCCUCCUGAGUAGCUGGGACUAACGGCACAUGCCAUCACAUGGCUAUGUUUUUAAAAACCAGCUUUACAUUCUUGCACAUUUUUGGACAUUGUGAAACAAAUAUAUUUUGACUCUCAAGAAAAAAGUACUUGGUGGCACAUUAAAGAAUGAGUGAAUGAGUUUACAAAACACAAGAGGCAGGGUACAGUUAUUCCAAAAUGAUAGGAAACAACAUUGUGCCUUUGCUUUUGUUUGAAGAGAAAUAAACUGUUUCCAUUCAAGUUUUAAGUGCCAAAAUAGCUAAUUACUGUUAAAAUAUCACCACGAUUAGUAACAUUACUCAGAGAAUCACUAUUUCCAACAGA